UACGUAGGGUGCAAGCGUUGUCCGGAAUUAUUGGGCGUAAAGAGCUCGUAGGCGGUCUGUUACGUCGGCUGUGAAAACCUGGGGCUCAACCCCGGGCCUGCAGCCGAUACGGGCAGACUAGAAUUCGGUAGGGGAGACUGGAAUUCCUGGUGUAGCGGUGAAAUGCGCAGAUAUCAGGAGGAACACCGGUGGCGAAGGCGGGUCUCUGGGCCGGUACUGACGCUGAGACGCGAAAGCGUGGGGAGCGAACAGG
rnacentral:rRNA from 1 species